rnacentral:rRNA from 1 species
UACGAAGGGGGCUAGCGUUGUUCGGAAUUACUGGGCGUAAGGCGCACGUAGGCGGACAUUUAAGUCAGGGGUGAAAUCCCGGGGCUCAACCCCGGAACUGCCUCUGAUACUGGGUGUCUCGAGUCCGGAAGAGGUGAGUGGAAUUCCGAGUGUAGAGGUGAAAUUCGUAGAUAUUCGGAAGAACACCAGUGGCGAAGGCGGCUCACUGGCCCGGUACUGACGCUGAUGUGCGAAAGCGUGGGGAGCAAACAGG